CCCCUGGGGGCGUGCACUGGGAUCUCAGGCGGCGGAGCUGCCGACGGGAGGCUGGUGGAAUCCGGUUUCCUGGAAGGCCGCCUCCCGCCGGUGCUCGGUCCUGUGUUUCCAUUAGGACCAUCUUCUAUUGCAAAAUCUGCUAGGAAAUCUAGAGGCCUCCAAGGACCUGGCUGGGCUUCAACUCUGUGGCUGAAUUUGAGAUGAGUAAACCAGACUGAAGAACCUUGCUCAAGGCCUGCGUCAGCUGCCAACAACCCACACUUGCCAAGAGAGAGGAAGGCAGCUUGGUCACCUCCCGAGGGAGCGCUUCUGCCAUCAGAAAGCCACCCCAACCCCUGGCACAGGAAGAGCUGGGCUGCAGUCUGACUACCAUUAACAGUUCACCUUCCUCAGAAGACACUUGUCUGGAUCUCAGUGUCCUCAUUUGUGGCAUAAGAACUCUGGAAUAAGCCAAAAAGAAGCAUGAGUGGGCCAACUCAGCCUCUGGAAAGAAGAGGAGCAGGAGAAAGAAGGGGAAGAAGAAGGAAGCCUAUUUUAGUUACAUGGGGAAAGUCCUGAAGCAAAGCCACCCUGACUUCAGUGGGCGCUCCUGGGUCUUGGAUGCACUGGGCUCUCUGGAUGAUUGGCAACUGGAGUGGGUUAGCCUGGAGGCAUUUAGAUUGUCCUUCUACAACCACAGAAGAGCUGUCACUGGCAGAGAGAUCCUUGGAGCAGUCAAGCAGAGAGCCUCUCAGAAGAGCUUUUGAAUAAAUGAAGUUGUUC